UUGGGGGCUCAGUGCGCAGGUGCACGCGCAGUCUUGGUCUAUAUAAGGAAGGUUCUUCGCCUUUCUCGCCCUUUCGUUCCUGAGGCUCUUUGUGUGCUCCGAUAUGUCUCGUCCUUUCGGGAUUAAUUUGCAGAUGGUUGGCCGGAUCAAGCAGUACAGGAUGGAGGUUGGCUGGAGAGAAGGGCAUCCAGGGAGAUGAACUAACCACCUUUUAAGUCUCAAGGUUUACUGACAGCCAAUACGAGGCUAUGAAUGGAGGGCGAACUCAGGAGGAGGAGAGCAUUGGCACACGGGAGCCAUGGAGGCCAGUGUUGGUCCGAUCGUGAUUUCAGGCACUUCUGGAAUACAGAAUACCAGCCCUGUUCCAGCUGCCUGCCCAGCCCAUGGGGCUGGGAGUGGCCCACAGGCUAUGCAGAAUGCAAAGAAGACUUAUUUUUUGGUUGGGGAGUAGUGGUAUGGUGUACACUGAACUGCUACUGGAAAUAGAAAAUACUGGCCUUCUAUCUGUAGGAAUAAAAUAUAACCAGUGAUGUUUUCAUUA